rnacentral:sRNA from 1 species
GGCCUAGAACAGCUGGAAUCCUUCGCCCCCGGCGCGCAGCCUUCGCCCGCCGGAAUCGCUGCCUUAUCCACCAGCGGGAUGCUUACCUCGCCCGCCCUCUCGGGUCAGGCGGGCCCGGGAGGAUGGGAGGGUGGCUGCUGAGAGGGAGCCGCCACGUCUUCCACCCGACAUAUUGCCUAGAGUUUGCUGUGACUUACAUCUUGAUUCAGAGAUGGAGAAAUCAGGCCCAUCUUCUACCAUCUCUGAGCAGCAGCUGCAGAGGCAAGAGGGAUGGAUUAACACCAAAACAGACUUGGCUGAGCAGAGUCUCAUUUCAUCUGAGAAAUGGCUUCAACUGCAUGGGCUUAAGAGCAACAAAUUGACCUUGAAACAGAUUUUGUCACAGAUCGGAUUCCCACAUUGUGAAGAUUAUGUGGCGUCUCUGGGGAGACCUGUGGCUUCUCGGUAUGCUGAUGGUCUGUUUCCACAGCUCUACAGAGCAGAAGAUGGCAGAGUAUACAAUAUUCCACGCAUUUGCCGAGAGAACAGAGUGUGUAGAAUUUCCUGCAUUCUCCACAAAGGAUGGUGACAAUGUGA